CCUACGAGUGGCAGCAGUGAGGAAUAUUGGUCAAUGGGAGAGAUCCUGAACCAGCCAAGCCGCGUGAGGGAAGACGGCCCUAUGGGUUGUAAACCUCUUUUGUCGGAGAACAAAACCCGGGACGCGUCCCGGACUGCGUGUAUCCGAAGAAAAAGCAUCGGCUAACUCCGUGCCAGCAGCCGCGGUAAUACGGAGUAUGCGAGCGUUAUCCGGAUUUAUUGGGUUUAAAGGGUGCGUAGGCGGUCCGUUAAGUCAGCGGUAAAAUUGCGGGGCUAAACCCCGGCGAGCCGUUGAAACUGGCAGACUUGAGUUGGCGAGAAGUACGCGGAAUGCGCGGUGUAGCGGUGAAAUGCAUAGAUAUCGCGCAGAACUCCGAUUGCGAAGGCAGCAUACCGGCGCCAGACUGACGCUGAGGCACGAAAGCGUGGGGAUCGAACAGGAUUAGAUACCCCGGUAGUC
rnacentral:rRNA from 1 species